rnacentral:pre_miRNA from 1 species
GAAAGAAGAACAUAUAAGGAUAGCCAAGGAGACUGCCUGAUGUCUUUUCAUAAGCAAUAUGUCAUUCUUGAUAUAACUUAUAGUCACAUCAAACAUGACAUCAACCAUUUUGUUCAAAGAAACAGGCAAGUCAUCCUUGGCUACCAAAUAUGAUUCUCUUAUUC